rfam:Cicer arietinum chromosome Ca5, whole genome shotgun sequence.
CUAUGUUUAUUGGCUCAGUGUCUUAAAAACUCAAAUAUUGUUGUGUUGUCAUAAGUUUCAUCUUUUGUAUGAACCAUGAGUUAAGAGUUAAAUAACAAUACUAAAUCG